CUAUGGGGGGCUGCAGUGGGGAAUUUUGGACAAUGGGGGCAACCCUGAUCCAGCCAUUCCGCGUGAGUGAAGAAGGCCUUCGGGUUGUAAAGCUCUUUUGUCCGGAGCGAAACGGGCGGCCCUAAUACGGUCGUCUACUGACGGUACCGGAAGAAUAAGCACCGGCUAACUACGUGCCAGCAGCCGCGGUAAUACGUAGGGUGCAAGCGUUAAUGGGAAUUACUGGCAGGAGAUUUUGUGAGCCAGAUGUGAAAUCCCCGGGCUCAACCUGGGAAUGGCAGUUGGGACUGCAAGGCUGGAGUGUGGCAGAGGGGACUAGAAUUCCUGGUGUAGCAGUGAAAUGCGUAGAUAUCAGGAGGAAUACCGAUGGCGAAGGCAGGUCCCUGGGUUAACACUGACGCUCAUGCACGAAAGCGUGGGGAGCAAACAGGAUUAGAUACCCUAGUAGUC
rnacentral:rRNA from 1 species